AAAAAAAAAAAACCAGAAAACCUGAAAAUUAUUUCCAAAAAAUUGAAAAAAAGAAAAUGCAAUUAAGAGCUGACGAAUCACUGAAAAAGACAGGAACGCAGUAUUUUCGGCUUUUAGGCCUUUUUUAGCUUUCUCAGUUAGUAGUUUCGAUCUUUCUCAAACUCUCUCUCUCUCACUCACUAAACCCCCAAAACACACCAGAUUUCGCUUCUCAGAAUCUCUCUCUCUCUAAAAGAUUCUUGACUAUGGACGAGACUGAUGAUGUGGUCUCAGUGACUACUGUCUCAGAAUCUGGUGUGACUGUAGGCGAGCCUACGGUGGAUGAAACCCUAACCGAACCUUUGGGUCAUGAGGGAAAUAUUGAGGGGGCUUUGCAGGGGCAAGAAGUAGAUGAAGAUGAAGGGGAGAUAAUGGUGGAGGUGGUGGGUUCUGAUGUGUUUGUUGAUGGUGUCCGUGAUCAUGGGGACGAGGGCGCGGUGAAAGAGGGUUUGGAAAAAGAAUUGGGAUCUAUUGAUGAUAAGGGCGGUGGAAUUGUUGAUUUGGGGUCUGGGGAAGUGGGAGCUCCGGGUAUUCAAUUGCAGGAUGGUAGGAAUGAAAGUGGAUCUGAAGGUUCUCAGAAUGUUGCAGGGUCGUCAGGUGAACAGACCCGUGUUGAUGUUGUGAAGGAAGCUGCAGUGGUGGCGAAUGAGGAGGCAUCGGACAAAGGUAAGGAGUUGAUUGAUGGAAAGGGUGAUGGUGGUGGUGUUAUAAUUUAUUCCAAAGCUGGUGUUUUGGAUGGUCAGGCUCAGGCUUCUGAAAAUGAGUCUAGGGGAGGAGAUUCUUCAGUGAAUGCAGCAUCAUUGCAUGAUCAAACCCAAAUUGUUACUGCGACGGGCAUGCACGGAGAUAUGGAGUCUGUUGACGGUGUGGCUGGUGCACUUGAUGAUUUGACGCCAGUACAAAAUUCUGGAAUCGAGUCUGUGGUUGUAUGUUCUUCACCAAUAGCAGAAUCCUCAAGUGGGCAAACCCAUGUUGCUGUGGAAGUUGGUACUGAGGAGGGUCUGAACCAUAAAGAUGAAGUUCCUGCUGACGUCGUGGAGGUAAAUUUACAUUAUUCAGAAGUAGAUCAAAGUUCAGAAGUUAGGGCGAUUAGCAAGGGGAGGAACAAAGAUGAUUCCGUUCAUACAAAUGCUGAAUCUUCGAAUCAACAAGCCAAAGUAGCUGUUGUAGGGGAAGUAGGGGUGAUGAACAAAGAAGAGAUUUUGCAUUCAAAAGUUGAAGUUACCGGAAUUUGUUCAGUAGAGGAUCGGCAGAUGAUGGUUGAGACUGCUGGUAAGAAUACAGAAAGUCACUGUGAUUUGAGUGCAGACCCAAUAUCCUCCCCCGAGCAUACUAAACCUGUUUCUCACAGUGAAGUUGCAACAGUUGAUGGCAAGUGCUCUUUGGAUUCCAAUGUUGAAGCUCCCAAAGUUGUUGGUUCCAGUGGGACUGGUGGGAAUAUCGGAGAAAUUAAUAUUCUCUAUGCAGACUCAGGAUCCUCCAUCAAACAAGCCCAAGUUGCAGCUAGUUCUUCUGCAUCCCUUGACAGUAAGGUUUCAAUUUACAAUGUUGAAACACAUGUUACUGGCGGAGGAGAAGUUUUGACUACAGAAAACAAGGUGACUGGUGCUUCUGUUGAGAACUUAAGUUAUGCAGAAGAUCAAGAGUUGAGGGUCAAGACUGUGUGUGGGGACUCCAGAAGUAAUAUUGCUGUAUGUGUUGAAUCAGAAAUUUCUAGUGAAGGAAUCCAAGUUGUCAACGGCAAUGAAGUUGCAGCAAUGCAUGGCAAGGUCUCAGAUCCUAAGGUGGAUAUUCUAAAAACUAAUGAUAUGGAUGGGACAGACCGUACAGAAGAUGAUCAGAAGAUGAAGUAUGAGUCAACAUGUGAAAGUGCUGGAAAAGACGGUGUUGCACUUGCAGAUCCGGAAUCUUCUCAUGAACAAAAUUAUGCUGCUGAAAGAAGGGAAUCUGCAGCAAUGGACCUGGAAUCCUCUGGUGAACUGAACCAAAUUGCUGUUAGAGGUGACAUUGAAACGAUAGAAGACAAAGAGGUUCUGAAGCUUGAUGAUGAGGCACUUUGCAGUGUGUCUAAGAUUGAUUCUAGUAUUGGGAAUUCAUGUUUCUCAGAAGCUGAUCAAGAUCCGGCAACAUCUGUAGAACACAUUCCAUUUGUUAAAGGAGAGAAUGCUUCAGUGAUGGAAGGUGAGAAAGUUUCAAACUCCAAAGUUGAAGUUUUGAAUGAUGAUACAGGUUAUUUUCAGAAAGAUGAAAAGUUGAACAAAUUGACAGUUGGUGGAAGCACAGAAAGGGACAGUGUUGCACAGGCAAUUUCAGAGUCAUCUGACAGGGCUGAAAUUGACAUGCAAUUGGAUUCUUCAGUGAUUGAUUGUCAGGUAACUGUUCAAGUUUCAUCAUGCCAUGCAUCGGAUGGAAGUACUCCCAUUUUAGGCAAAGUGGAAGAGUUGAAGGUUGAGAGAAUGCAUGGAAGCAGAGAAGAAGAUAUUGUUGCAGGUAAAGAUACUUCUGUAGGUGUUGACUCUCCUCCAGUUGGCAAUCGUAGUGCUUCUAUUCCGGGAACAAAUUCAGAUAGUUUUGAGGUGAAUACAUCCAUGCAAGAUGAGAAACAAGAGACAGUUGCCCAACUAACUGCAACUGCAACUCAUACUCAGAAGGUAGAUGGGGAUCAAAGCAUUAAUCCAUUGAAUGCUGGUGAGAUUUCAGACCAAGGGGCUACUGAUGUGGCACUUUCAGACACAGUUGUUGAAAAUACUGCUGGAUCUCAAGCUGCACUCAGCAGUGCUUCUUUCCAUAAUGGGGAUUACCAUGUUUCUUCUUGUGAUAGUGACUUUAUCACUCCUAUACAAGAUGGAAAUCAUAAUUUAGCAGUUCAUUUUGCAAGCAAUGACAUAUCUUUAUCACAUGGUGAUCAAAUCAUGGAAACUUGUGUUCCUCAUGUGGUAACUUCUAAUGAUGCGGUGAAUCAGGCCAUUGAAGUGAAAGAUGGAUCCUGUGAGGCAGAUAAAUACCAGAUAUUGUGUGCUCAUGCUCCUGAAGCAGAGGAGUCAAAAUUGAAUGAUGAGGCUAUUGCGGGUAGCCUGGUUGUAGAUUUGGAUACCUGUCUCAACAAAGACAUAGUGUGGAAGUCACAAGAUGGCACUGCCGAGGAAAAUAAUUAUUUGCCAGAUGAGUCCUACUGCAUGGGGGAUGAUGCUCCAGGAAUUGAAGGAAAUGUAGAAUUGCAUGUUUCAAAGUCCGUAGAUGGGAGUGUGACAGGUGAUAUUUACCCCAUUGGUUCAAAUGUAGAGCAAGGAGUAGAAGUUGAAGAACUAUAUACUGAUGCUGAGCAGGUUGAUUUACUCAUAGGGCAAGAAAUAGAAAUCGGAGAACAGGCUACUAAUACUGAACUGCCAAUAGUCUCUGAUGAGAAAAUUAAACAGGCAGCUCCGGAGCCUGGAAAAUUUGUAAAAUUGCAUCAAGCUGGUUAUUUGCUGCCAUCAGAAAACGAAGGCGAGUAUUCUGUGUCUGAUUUAGUCUGGGGUAAGGUGAGGAGCCAUCCCUGGUGGCCUGGACAGAUUUUUGAUCCUGCUGAUGCAUCAGAGAAGGCAAUGAAAUAUUAUAAAAAAGACUGUUUUUUGGUAUCAUAUUUCGGGGAUCGAACUUUUGCUUGGAAUGAUGCUUCUUUAUUAAAGCCAUUUUGGACACAUUUUUCCCAGAUAGAGAAGCAGAGCAAUUCAGAAGCAUUUCAGAAUGCAGUGAGCUGUGCCUUGGAAGAGGUCUCCAGACGGGUAGAAUUGGGGUUGGCUUGCUCUUGCAUACGAGAAGAUGCUUAUGACAAGAUUGAAUCUCAAAUUGUUGAAAACACUGGGAUCCGGCAAGAAUCAAGUCGAAGAUACGGUGUUGACAAAUCUAUGGGGGUGAGUUCUUUUGAACCUGAUAAACUUGUGGAGUUUGUAAGAGCACUGGCACAGUCCCCAUCUGGUGGUGCUGAUCGGCUGGAGCUUGUGAUUGUGAAGGCUCAGUUGUUGGCCUUCUCUCGUCUAAAGGGAUAUUAUGAACUUCCUGAAAUCCAAUUUUGUGGAGGAUUGUUGGAAAAUGAAACAGAUGCUUCAGAGUCGAGCGAAGUGAUUGAGCAUGCUACUCCUGUUGCCAAUGAUCAUGAGCAAGUCAAGGGGAAACCAAAAAUUGAAAGCAGCUCUUCCCAUAAAAGAAAACACAAUUUGAAGGACAGUGUGUAUCCCAACAAGAAAGAGAGAGCCUUGUCGGAAUUAAUGGUCGAUAUAGCGUAUUCACCAGAUAGUGAAGAUGGGUCAGAUGGGAAAGGUACAGGUCAGUCAGUUUCACAAUCUUCUGGCAAAAAACGAAAGGCCGUUGACUCCAUCACCGAUGGUUCAGCGAUGCAAGAUAAGAGAGUCAGUUUUUAUGCUGCCAAAGUGUCUCAUACUACAUCUCCAAUUCCUAAGCCAUCGUUUAAGAUUGGUGAGUGUAUUAGUAGAGUUGCAAGUCAACUGACUGGAUCCCCAUCAAUUCUGAAGUGUAGCAGCAGUGACAGACAAGUUGGUUUUGAUGGUUCUUUACAUGAGAACUCCCAAAAAGGAAGGAUAAUUGUUCCAACUGAACACUCAUCUCUAGAUGAAAUCCUAUCGCAACUUCACUUGGCAGCGCGGGAUCCCAUGAAAGGGUACAGCUUCUUAAAUACCAUCACUUAUUUCUUCUCUGGUUUUAGAAAUUCAAUUGUUUUGGGUCAGUAUUCAGGAAAGCAGAAUUCAUCCAUGGGAAAAAUGGGUGGUGGUAGAAAGAAAAAGGCAUCUCAUGCCAUUAUUGGGUCUCCUGAAGAAUUUGAGUUUGACGAUGUGAAUGACUCUUAUUGGACAGACAUGAUUGUCCAAAACAAUCCUGAAGAGGAACCAUCAGGCAUUAGUCAGAACCAGGGAGAGUAUCAGCUAGUGGCUUUUGAGCCAGAUAAAUCCCUUAAACGGAAUCGUAGAUCAUACUCUAGGAAGCGCUAUGCUAAUGGGCACCAUGAAAUGACAGAAGAGGAACCAAUCGGGUAUAUUGAUGAGAGGAAGCAAGAUUUGUCUCCAACUGAACUUCUAUUGAAUUUUACUGAGGGUGAUCCAGUUCCUUCAGAAAUGAAUCUGAAUAAAAUGUUUAGGCGCUUUGGACCUUUGAGGGAAUCUGAAACUGAAGUUGAUAAUAUGACCAGCCGUGCCAGGGUGGUCUUCAAGAGGUGUUCUGAUGCAGAAGUUGCUUUCAAUAGUGCAGGAAAGUUCAACAUUUUUGGGCCAAUGAUUGUUAAUUACCAGCUCAACUAUUCACCUUCACAGCUCAACUAUUCACCUUCAAUCUUAUUUAAAACUGUGACUCUUGCAACAACAGAAGACCAGGAUGACGCAAUGUGAUGUUUUUGCUCUAGAAAUUUAUGUGAUUGGGAAAUUUCAGUUUGGACAAUGGCUGAGAAGUGAUCGGGUGUAAUGCUGAAUGAUGAAGCUAUGACAACAUGGUCAUCCCAAUGGGCUGCUGCUGAAGAAGGUAACCAGACUCUAAUUCAUCUGGUUAUCAAAAUGUUCUCAAUUCCUUGUGUUCAAUGCUCUUCUUGUUUUGUACUUAACAAAGAUGUGUGUUGUCACACUACCUUGGCAUUAAGAUCUCUUAUGCUUCACUUAGUGUGAUGUUAUCACUAUCAAUUAGCCAGCAGCCAUAACUUUUAUCCACGACGACUUUGAGGUACUGAUUAAAAAUGGAAUUAUGGAACUUCUGGUCACUCAUACUCUAUGGCUGUACAUGUGAAAUGAAGGAUAUUACUCUGUGAUGGAACCACUUUGGAGAUCAGGCCUUUGUCCAGCCAAGAAUUCGAAGCACUGACCAUAUUAAAUGUUGAACUGGAAGUUUAUCAGAGCAUGAUGGUGACAUUUGAUUAAUGCUCCUUGUUCAUUCCAAGUUUUGUCAUGUGAUAUGCAUUCUCUCCCUUCAGGUCACAAAUACAAGCAUGAUGAUGAUAUUGUCAUUUUACCAUUAAUUCAUGAGAGUCCCAACUCCUUUGCAGAUGGAGGGGAUCAGUGGUCGCAUCUGGUCAUGUGAUACAGAAUUAUAUGCAUUUGCAGAGAAAUUGUUCGUUCUCAACAUUUGGUAGACUUUAAGAUCAUCUGAUUGUGAAAUAUAUGAACUCGUGUCAAGUUAACCUGCGUUACCCGGUGAGGCUCUAGCAUUUAGAAAGGGAAAACUGAUUUUUUCCAGAAUAUGUUGCUACAGUGAGUGGCUACUUCCGACUCCGAGUGGUAGGAUGUUUGUUAUCUUUUUCAGAACUAUUAUGUUGAAGGGUUGCAUUCACUCGUUAAUUUUUUUGUAAAUAUAUUGUUGUGAAUCAUAUUGCAAUAAUGUUUACUAAUGUACACGUAUUCCUAAAGGAAA